rnacentral:misc_RNA from 1 species
CGAUGAGUCAUUAACUACAGAAUUUUAAUUUUAUUUUCCUGUUCAAAGCAUUACUCUUUCAAAAAAUAGACAUAGAAAGGCAAAGGCAAAAAUAAUAUCCUAAAAACCACAAUGCCAUCCAAAGAUUUGAGUUGGUUAAAUGUCAUCCAGAGCAAAGGACAAAUAGUUGAGGCAUUUGCUUCAAACCCAACGCAUAGUUUCACAUUCGUUUGAAAUUGAUGUCUGCCAACCUUAAGUGCAGGCCAUGUAUGUGAAAAAUACUACUGAUAUAAAUUGAGUUUUAUAAAUUGGUAAUGUGAAAUAGAUUAACCAGACAUGCUCCCCAGACUAACAUUACAUUGAAAUAUGAGGUCAUGUCAUAUUUUGUCUUCAUUACAUGUGGCAAGCUCUGUUAAAUCCUUGAAGAAAUUACUAUAACAGAAGUCCUUUAUUUUUAUUUGUAAAGGAGAAUUAUAUCACACAUCAUUGGCACAAGGCAGACCACUUACCAUAAGGCAUUAGUUUCUGA